rnacentral:rRNA from 1 species
CAAUAGCGUAUAUUUAAGUUGUUGCAUUUAAAAAGCUCGUAGUUGGAUUUCUGUUGAGGUCGGCCGGUCCCUACUUCGUAGGCGUAUCUGGUUCAGCCUUGGCAUCCUCCUAGGGAACGGCACUGCUCUUAACUGAGUGGUCCGGUAUCUAGGACUUUUACUUUGAGGAAAUUAGAGUGUUUACGGCAGGCAAUCGCCUUGAAUAUGUUAGCAUGGAAUAAUAAUAUAGGACCUUGGUUCUAUUUUGUUGGUUUCUAGGACUAAGGUAAUGAUUAAUAGGGAUAUUUGGGGGCAUUCGUAUUAACCGGUCAGAGGUGGAAUUCUUGGAUUCGGUUACGACGAACUACUGCGAAAGCAUUUGCCAAGGAUGUUUNCAUUGA